rnacentral:rRNA from 1 species
UACGUAGGGUGCAAGCGUUGUCCGGAAUUACUGAGCGUAAAGAGCUCGUAGGUGGUUUGUCGCGUUGUUCGUGAAAACUCACAGCUCAACUGUGGGCGUGCGGGCGAUACGGGCAGACUUGAGUACUGCAGGGGAGACUGGAAUUCCUGGUGUAGCGGUGGAAUGCGCAGAUAUCAGGAGGAACACCGGUGGCGAAGGCGGGUCUCUGGGCAGUAACUGACGCUGAGGAGCGAAAGCGUGGGGAGCGAACAGG